GGGGGCCUCAUGCUACCAAGAAUGAAGAAUCAGGAGGGGAAUGGGGUCCUUGUGCUGAGAAGCUCCUAGACCAGUAGAAGAUUGAUGACAAGGACCUUCCCACAGAGCUGUCAGAGACAGAAAGCCUUCCCUCGGAGCUGACACUCUGAAUUUGGCCUUCUAGCCUUUUAGACUGUGCGAGAAUAAAUUUCUUGGUCAAAGCCAUGUGCUUGUGGUAUUUCUGUUACAGCAGCACUAGAUAAGUAAGAUAGAAUUUGGUACUAGAAAAGUGGGUGUUCUGUUCUAACAGAUAUAUAAAAUUUGAAAGAGGUUUCAAAACUGAAUGGUAGAAGCUGGAAGAGUUUUAUAGCACCAAAUACUAAAAGCCUAGAUUGCCUUGAAGAGACUGUUGGUAGAAUUCUGAACAUCAGAAUGGUGGGGGCUGAAAAGGAAGUGAGGAGAGCUGUAACAUCAGAGAUGGUGCAAAUGGCAAGAAGCAGCAGCAAAGAAAUGGCAAUAACAGAACCAGGAGACCAGUGUGAGACAGCCCUGGAGCUACCCCACAGAGUGAGAGGGCUGAGUGCCUUUGUGCAGGAGGCUUCCUGGUGGAGUGGGGUGCCUUCAGGCACUUGUUGGUGGAGCCAGGCUUGCUGAUCCAUGGAGCAAGAGAGCUCAGUACCUUCCAGCUGAGGUUUACUGGCGGGGUGGGGUACCUGCUGGCACUUAUCAGUAGAGCUAAAGAGCUUUGGAAUGCUUUUCCCAGAAGGGCAAACACUGGAACAGCACAAGGGCCUGAGAGGCCAAGGAACAAGGAAGCAGAGGCUGAAGAGAAAAGGAACACAAGAAUCAGAGUUGCCUCAGUCUCAAAGGGUAGGGCCACAGCCUCUGGGGUUUGAAAGGGUGGAGCCACGGUCUCCUAGGUUUCAAAGAGCCAGGUCUUCAUCAGUUCGGUUCCAGAGAGUGGGGCUGCCUUUCACGAGUGCCACUAGAAUGGGUUGGAUCUACUGCCCAAAGCUGAGUGGAUGGGGUUGCCAUGCCCUACCAGGGCCAAGGGGGUAAGGCUGGCACUCAGAUGGACUAGGAAAUGGGACCGCCCAAAUGCGAUGGAGCAGAGUUGCCAUUCCAGUGGGCCUGGAAGACGGAACUGGAGUCCAGGGCCUAGGAGCCUCCACCCAGAAUCCAGAGAGUGUGGCCAACACCCAGAGACCAGAGGGCAGGGCCACUGCCUAAAUGGUCUCAGAGAAUAGAGGGUUAUUUUCAAGCCUUGAGAGCUAAUGUAAUAUGUUCUGCUGACUUGCUUGGUGCCUGUUGUCCCUUCUUUCCCUUCUAUUUCUACCAUUUGUAAUGGAAAUUUUCUAGCUUGUGGCUGUUCCACUAUUGCAUUUGGGAAGCAGAUAACUCGUAUUCUAGAUUUCGCAGAUGAAGAGGCAUUUUGCAGAAGAUGAGAUUCUGUAUUUGUAGUCGAUUUAAGACUCUUAGGAUAAUAUGAUGGUGUGAAUGUGUUUUACAUUUGGCAAGAACAUGAAUUUUUGGGGGCUGCCUUAGUUACCUAGUGCUGGUAUAACAGAAAUACCACAAGUGGAUGGCUUUAACGAAAAGUUUAUCGUCUCAGAGUUUAAGAGACUAGAUUUCCAAAUUCUGGGUGCCAGAUCCAGGAGAAGGCUCUCUCUUUCUGUCAGCUCUGAGGGAAGGUCCUUGUCAUCAAUAUUCCCCUGACCUAGGAACUUCUAAGUGCAGGGACCCCAGGGCCAAAGAAAAUGCUUCCCUCCUGGUUCUUUAUUCUUGGUGGUAUGAUGUCCCCCUGUCUCUCUACUGACUUCUCUCUUUUAUAUCUCAAAAGAGACUCAAGAAACAAACUAAUCCUGUAGACUGAGUGCUGCCUCAUUAACAUAACUGGCUCUAAUCCUGCCGCGUUGAUAUCUUAGAAUUAGGAUUUACAACACCUAGGUGUUUUAGUCAUCUAAAUAAUAGCUUUCGGCAAUGGAUCUGGCCUUGUCCGUCUAGCACUAGUGAACACCAUCCCCGAACUCCAGAACUGAGUUGGUGAAGAUCUGACUCUUUGAACCUAGGAGCCUGUGGCCUCACCCUUUGAAACCUCAGAGGCCACGGCUCCACCCUUUUUACCCCAGAGGUCAUGGCCCUACCCUUUGAGACUGAGGCAACUCUGAUUCUUGUGUUCCUUGUCUCUUCAGCUUCUGCUUCCUCAUUCUUUGACCUAUCCGGCCCCUCCAGCCCUUGGGGCAGCCCAGUGUCUGCCCUGCUGGGGCAAGUGUUCCAAAGUUCUUUAGCUCCACUGAUAAGUGCCCAGAGGCACCCUACUCCGACAGGAAGCCUCCUGCACAAAGUGUCUUUGUUCUAGGACUAUUUCAACUAGAAAGGACUACCCACUACUGCAGAGUAUACAUGCCAGGGAUUCCAGACGACUGAAUCCUUCCUCUGUCCUUGACUCACUGUGUGUCCAGGGCGGAAACUUGUGCUAGAGAAGACAAGAAGUAUCUUCUCAUACAUCUGAUUGAUCCGGCCUGGUUCAAAAGCCCCACUCAGCAGCUGUAAUGGGAAAGGAUGUGAAGUCUGAGGUGGGGCUGGUCUGGCUUCCAUAAUUGGCAUCCAAAUAGUUUGAAAGAGUGAAUGAAGCUGCUGAUAUGCAAAUCAUUUAUCCCAUAAAUCCUAGUCUUCAAAGUUCCAAAACACUACCAAAAAACCAAAGAAGAUUCAGACCUGGUUGAUCCCCGCCCGAAAUUCCUCCUAAAGGCAUAACGCAGGUCAGGAAGUCCUUUUCUGCAAGUAAUUAUUAUAAGAGUAGACAUCAAAAUCUCAGAAGAAUUAGAAUGUUAGAACUGAAAGCAGCCUUCGAGGCAGGCAGAGGGCGAGAAACCCAGACAGCCACAGUAACUGGUACCAGGCUAUACUCUGCUGACUAGUGGGGAAGCCUGAGUCUCUAAAUCUUCCCAGUCUCCCGAUGUUUUCCUCUAUAUCAAAGAACUUUUUUUUUUAAGUAUAUAGGUAUUUUUUCCCAAGAAAGAAUACUAACAGAUAUUUUAUACAUUCUCACGUUAGUGGAAAUCAAGUAGGGAAAGAAAGAAUUCCCAAAGGUUUAGCCCAAUGGUUUUUCUAUUUGUCAAUUUGUUGACCUUUAUAUUUUUUAAUGUUUUUCACUGAGAGAAUGAUUUAUAUAUUCUCAGCCUAUAAUGACCCUUUUUUCCUAGGAGAAUCACCCCCUGCUCUCGUGCAGCAGUGCCCAGACACCAUAUUUACAGUGUAUGUCCCUGCCCCUCUAUAUCUCCACUGACUAAAUGAAAAAGAAAAAUUUACCCAACCUGGUUGUCUCCGUUGAUUUUGCAACUGACCUUUUGGUGAGACUCUCCUGAUUGAGAGUUGGUCUUUUGUAGCACAUACAUGAAGAAGCAAACAAAAGUGUUUCUGCUGAGAUAAGAUGGAGGCAAAGGCUCAGAGAGAAGAAGGGUUCAGAAAUGAUGGGGGGGAGGAAGAGAGAAGAUGAGAGGGUGAGAUGGAGAAAGAAUGAGAGCGUGAGAGGAGAGAGGGAAGGGGGAGAGAGAGAGAAUCCCUGCCUUAAUUCCUGAGGGAGGGGUCUGGCUUCUGUCUUUAUGAGAACUUCUAUACUCCCUACCCCUGGGAUUCAUGAGGUCACUUUAUAAUAAUCCCCUCUUUAAUUAAGGUAAUUUAAGUAGGUUUCUGUUAUUUGCAACCAAAUGAGACUUGUGUAAAGCAAAACUGCUUUACCAUAUUUGUUAAAUCCUUGUUGGACUGUUCAAGGUUACAGUUUUUAAGAGUGCCAGAAUUUCAAUGGAAUUCCACUCUGAGGCUUUGGUCAACAUUUCAGCUUCUAAUAAAUGAAUGCAGCUUUUCUUGGUGAAAGGGCAUCAGAACCAUCCUUUCGAUCUAGGACUGGAAUUUUAAUGUUCAGCUUUCCAGUGGUGAAUUUCAUGAAAAAUGGGAUCGGGCUUUUAGACUGUUAUCUUUUCACUCUAGGGGUGAUAUUUAGGUUAAUUUGAAUCUACAUGACCCCAGUCAAAUUGUGCUAAACUAAAAUAUUUGCUUGGAAACAGUUUCUUUGUAGAUCACUUACAGAGGUGGUAUUUGCUUUUGAGGUAGUGGUGUGGUUCCCAGUUUGGGGGAUGGCAAAGACGUCUUGCCUUCUUGUCUCCUGUUGCCCUCCUGGGAUGAUGAGUAGUGCUCCAAUUUUCACCUCAGCUGGGCUUUGGAGAGAUAUCCAAGUCAUCUCUUUCCCUGUCCUGCAGUUGGUGCCCCAGCAGGGUGGCAGGAGAAUGAGCAGUUCCCUGCCCCUCUGGACCAUUGCUGGGCAUGGCAGCCCGGCUCCCCCCGCUUUUCUCUCUGGAAUACUGUUGCUUACUGACUCAUGGAAAUGGUGUUUAGCUCUAUCUGCUGAAAAGAAAACCAAAUGCAUUGCUGUUGAGUUGAUUCUGAUUCAUAAACUGCCACAUAGGGUUUCCAAAGAGUGGCUGGUGGUGUUGAACUGCUGACCUUUUGG